rnacentral:rRNA from 1 species
AGAGUUUGAUCAUGGCUCAGGAUGAACGCUGGCGGCGCACAUAAGACAUGCAAGUCGAACGGAAGUCGUUGUAAUGAAAUGGAAAUGGACAGAGAACUUGUUCGAAGAAAGUUGAAGUAGACUUACAACAAUGGCUUUAGUGGCGGACUGGUGAGUAACGCGUAAGGAACCUGCCUUUUAGAGGGGAAUAACAAUGAGAAAUCAUUGCUAAUACCGCAUAUGCCGAGAGAAUCACAUGGUACAAUCGGGAAAGGAGCAAUCCGCUAAAAGAUGGCCUUGCGUCUGAUUAGAUAGUUGGUGGGGUAACGGCCUACCAAGUCGACGAUCAGUAGCCGGACUGAGAGGUUGAACGGCCACAUUGGGACUGAGAUACGGCCCAGACUCCUACGGGAGGCAGCAGUCGGGAAUAUUGCGCAAUGGAGGAAACUCUGACGCAGUGACGCCGCGUAUAGGAAGAAGGUUUUCGGAUUGUAAACUAUUGUCGUUAGGGAAGAGAAAGGACAGUACCUAAGGAGGAAGCUCCGGCUAACUACGUGCCAGCAGCCGCGGUAAUACGUAGGGAGCGAGCGUUAUCCGGAAUU